rnacentral:sRNA from 1 species
GCUGUUGCUGGCUUUUUCAGGAGCUGCUCGCUCGCAGCCAGACGCUGCUUUUUUUUUUCCGGGUUCGGAGCCGUUCCGGAUGCUUUAGGCUGCCGGAUGUCUGAUCUCCGGAUAACUGAGGCGUUUCUGUACAUGGAUUAUCUGUGUUUUAGAGCACUUUGCUGCAAGGGACCACCACCUGCACGACCAGAAUAUGACCUGGUUUGCAUAGGCCUCACAGGCUCUGGCAAAACCAGUCUGUUGUCCAAACUCUGCAGUGAAAGCCCCGAUAACGUCGUGUCGACCACAGGUUUUAGUAUUAAAGCAGUGCCAUUCCAGAAUGCCAUCUUGAAUGUAAAAGAACUUGGAGGGGCUGAUAAUAUCCGGAAAUACUGGAGCCGCUACUACCAAGGAUCUCAAGGGGUAAUAUUUGUAUUAGACAGUGCCUCUUCAGAGGAUGAUUUAGAAGCUGCUAGAAAUGAGCUGCACUCAGCUCUUCAGCAUCCACAGUUAUGCACUUUACCCUUUUUAAUAUUGGCCAAUCAUCAAGACAAGCCAGCAGCUCGCUCAGUACAAGAGGUAUGUCUCAUUAACAUGACAACUCUUUGUCUUCCUUGCUUGUACUUUUGCUGCCACGUUGGAACCUGG